GACGAACGCUGGCGGCGUGCUUAAUACAUGCAAGUCGAACGGAAAGGCCCUGCUUUUGUGGGGUGCUCGAGUGGCGAACGGGUGAGUAACACGUGAGUAACCUGCCCUUGACUUUGGGAUAACUUUAGGAAACUGGGGCUAAUACCGGAUAGGAGCUCUUGCUGCAUGGUGGGGGUUGGAAAGUUUCGGCGGUUGGGGAUGGUCUCGCGGCUUAUCAGCUUGUUGGUGGGGUAGUGGCUUACCAAGGCUUUGACGGGUAGCCGGCCUGAGCGGGUGACCGGCGACAUUGGGACUGAGAUACGGCCCAGACUCCUACGGGAGGCAGCAGUGGGGAAUAUUGCACAAUGGGCGGAAGCCUGAGGCAGCAGCGCCGCGUGCGGGAUGACGUCCUUCGGGUUGUAAACCGCUUUCGCCUGUGACGAAGCGUGAGUGACGGUAAUGGGUAAAGAAGCACCGGCUAACUACGUG
rnacentral:rRNA from 1 species